rnacentral:rRNA from 1 species
UACGUAGGGACCGAGCGUUGUCCGGAAUCAUUGGGCGUAAAGAGCGUGUAGGCGGCUUGCUAAGUCUUGCGUGAAAUCUCGGGGCUCAACCCCGAGCGGUCGUGGGAAAUUGGCAGGCUAGAGUGCGGGAGAGGAGAAUGGAAUUCCUGGUGUAGCGGUGAAAUGCGCAGAUAUCAGGAAGAACACCCGUGGCGAAGGCGGUUCUCUGGAACGCAACUGACGCUGAGACGCGAAAGCGUGGGGAGCAAACAGG